GGAAAGUUCUCUAACUAGAGAAUCCUCUUUUGGGAGUAUUUGGCAAGCCCUGAUCCUUGGGAUGGGUAAGACCAAUGAGACUUCCUUGGCUCUUAAAGAGUAUUGGUCCUUAAGCAAAGCUAUGAAUGGGUCAUGUUCUCUACACAAUGUGGCAUUCCUCUACUUCAGAGAGUUUUGGGGAGUCAUGGAGAAGAAAUCAGCAAUAUCUAUUAGCACAGCCGGACUAAGCAGAAAGAAGAUCCACUGAUGCUGAAGGGUACAGACAACCAUAUUUAAAUACUGGUCUGCAUUUUGAGGAAAGAACAUACGAACUAAGAAAGAAUGAGUAAAUACAUAGAGAGGCUGGGAUGAACAGGGUGAGGGAAAUUCAGAAGUAACUGUAGAGUAUAAAGUACAGCUGUGAUGGGUAAACCUGGUGAAUGUAGAGCACAAUAAUGACCACUGAAAAAAUGUUUCAACCUGAAUCUAAUGACAUAUUAAACUUGUCCUAACAUUCUUUCCAUCUCAUACAGUUAUCAUAGAAUCGUCUUGGGCCACAUAUAAAAUAUAUAAUAAAUGUAAUGUA